UGCCAGCCGCCGCGGUAAUACGAGGGGUGCUAGCGUUGUUCGGAAUCAUUGGGCGUAAAGCGGGUGUAGGCGGCUUGAUAAGUCAGAUGUGAAAUCCCUGGGCUCAACCCAGGACGUGCAUUUGAAACUGUCAAGCUUGAGUAUCAGAGAGGUUCGUGGAAUUCCAGGUGUAGUGGUGAAAUACGUAGAUAUCUGGAGGAACACCGGUGGUGAAGACGGCUCUCUGGACCGACACUGACGCUGAGACUCGAAAGCGUGGGGAGCAAACAGGAUUAGAUA
rnacentral:rRNA from 1 species